rnacentral:rRNA from 1 species
UACGGAGGGUGCAAGCGUUAUUCGGAAUUACUGGGCGUAAAGCGCGUGCAGGCGGGCUAGCAAGUCUGAUGUGAAAGCCCCGGGCUCAACCUGGGAAGUGCAUUGGAAACUGCUAGUCUUGAGUGCUGGAGAGGAAGGGGGAAUUCCCGGUGUAGAGGUGAAAUUCGUAGAGAUCGGGAGGAAUACCAGUGGCGAAGGCGCCCUUCUGGACGGCAACUGACGCUGAGACGCGAAAGCGUGGGGAGCAAACAGG